rnacentral:rRNA from 1 species
UACGUAGGGGGCAAGCGUUAUCCGGAAUUACUGGGUGUAAAGGGAGCGUAGGCGGCAUGGUAAGUUAGAUGUGAAAGCCCGUGGCUCAACCACGGGAUUGCAUUUAAAACUAUCAAGCUAGAGUACAGGAGAGGUAAGUGGAAUUCCUAGUGUAGCGGUGAAAUGCGUAGAUAUUAGGAAGAACACCAGUGGCGAAGGCGACUUACUGGACUGAAACUGACGCUGAGGCUCGAAAGCGUGGGGAGCGAAC